rnacentral:tRNA from 4 species
GCCCUUUUAGCUCAAUGGUAGAGCAGCGGUAUCGUAAACCGUCGAUGUCAGUUCGAUUCUGACAAAGGGCUCCA